rnacentral:ncRNA from 1 species
GAAUGUUAGAGGUUCGAAGGCGAGCAGAUACCGCCCUAGUUCUAACCAUAAACGAUGCCAGCUAGCAAUUGGGUGUAGCUACUAUUAUGGCUCUCUCAGUCGCUUCGCG